rnacentral:SRP_RNA from 1 species
CCGUGCUAAGCGGGGUAUCAGCAGUGUCCCGUACUGGCAAUCCGCUAUAGUGAGGCUGAAUUCUUUUCACAGGAUCGAUGGCUUUGGACUGUUGCCGCUGCAACCAACUAAAGUCGGGUCCCAUGCAAAUGAGCGUCGUUAACCUGGUCAGGCCGGGAACGGAGCAGCCAUAAACGUUAGCUUGUUGUGCCGUGGAAAAACCCGACUUUAGUUGGUUGUAAUCUUAUAAAUAAGAGUUUUACAAAAGUUCAG